rnacentral:rRNA from 1 species
UGGGGAAUUUUGGACAAUGGGGGCAACCCUGAUCCAGCCAUGCCGCGUGAGUGAAGAAGGCCUUCGGGUUGUAAAGCUCUUUCGGCCGGAACGAAAUCGCAUCUCUUAACACGGGGUGUGGAUGACGGUACCGGAAGAAGAAGCACCGGCUAACUACGUGCCAGCAGCCGCGGUAAUACGUAGGGUGCGAGCGUUAAUCGGAAUUACUGGGCGUAAAGCGUGCGCAGGCGGUUCGCUAAGACAGGUGUGAAAUCCCCGGGCUUAACCUGGGAAUGGCGCUUGUGACUGGCGGGCUGGAGUACGGCAGAGGGAGGUGGAAUUCCACGUGUAGCAGUGAAAUGCGUAGAGAUGUGGAGGAACACCGAUGGCGAAGGCAGCCUCCUGGGCCAGUACUGACGCUCAUGCACGAAAGCGUGGGGAGCAAACA